rnacentral:piRNA from 1 species
UUCUCCCGUGAGAGGGUCAUUGCGG